CCCGGAAACAGGAAACAGUCUUUUCUAGCUGACUGUCCAAGCAUUCCUGUACUAGAAAAGGGCUUCCCUGCUCCAAGAUACAAUACAAAGUCUUUGUUUAUGUCGGUGAACGGAGCAAACCAUGCCCAAGAUGGAAAUAAAAUGAAAUGGAUGCAAACUUCUAAGGUAGAGUCAGCUACUAUUAUGAGUGAAACCCA